UGAAGGAGAAACUGGGAAAGGAGAUAACAUUAGCAAUGUAAAUACAUAAAAUACUCAAUUAAAAAAACUUUUCUUAACACAUACACAAUUGAGCAUUGGGGUGCAUUUUCCUUGUUUGUUUUCCAUGUUGUCACCUCAUUCCAACUGCUUUGACCUCUGGCAAUCAUCUGUUGAAGAGACACGGACAAAAAUAAGUGGAGUCUAACACCCUGUGACUCAACACUGGGCACUGGGCACCGGGCACUGGGCAUGAGCAAAGAGUGACCUAUGCAGGGGUAACGGCUUAUGAUGACGUCAUCCUUUAAAGGUAUAUGCCCCUAUAUAUCCUAAGUUGCCUGCACCUAUGCUCAGCCCUAGCCAAGAUGACGCCUGAAAUGCACGCUUUCAGCUUUUCUGAGCAAUAAGCAGAUGAAGUCGUGAAUUCUAGAUAUGCUUUGUUCAUAGUUAGAGUCUGGUGCUGCACUCUGGCCCUGUGUUUGAUAUGCAUUAUGUUUUGGAAUAUAGUAAGAAACACAUGCUGCUCCAGAAAGAGUGGUAGCCAGCGCUAAGGUACAGAUAUUGGUCCCAGACUUGCUAAGCAUUUCUGGCUUUGAAUUCUUCCCCAACUUUCUUGGUAGAACUAGAACGUAUAGACUGUUCUUUCCUAAAAUCACUCUAAACGUCAGUAUAAAUGAUUUCUUUUCUCUUGAUCACAGGGAACCACACUACAAUAUACUUAGCACUAAAUUUUAUGCAACAAGUUUAUUAAAUAGGGCUUUAAUGAAGAUUUUGAACACAGCGGUUAAGAGAAAGAGGUAUUCAAAAACAAAAUAUCACACACGCACCAGGUAUGAGUAUGGACUAGUACAGUUUCUUAUUCAUUUAUUUUUAACAAACAGUGGGGAGGAAGUGGAAGUGAUAGAGGGGGUGAAAACAUAAAUUAGGAUAUAGUAUAUGAACAAAAUAAUUCCAAUAAAAGCUUGAAAAGCACAGUGAAUUUCCACUCUCUUAGUAAAACUGCCAUUCGGGUUUAGGUCCUGUCUUUUAAGAAACAUAGUCCAAGUCAAGGACUUUGGUCUAUUGGGGGGGGGUCUUAUUAAGCUUUAAUUUAAAAUAGUGACAUUUGCCAAUAUUUGGGCUUUGUAUAAAUGAGCCAAAUUUGGGGUCUUAUCACAAUACUUGGGGCUUAUAUGUCCUCAAUUUGUUAAGAUUCAGUCUCUUCAGUUAGAAGGGACCGUUUAAGGCAUACUAAGUAGGAGUGUGCAGUAGUCCAGUGAGUUUAAAGUGAGCAACACAGCCUGAUAGCGAAUGAGUUGUACAAUGACAUCACACAUACAACUCUGCAACAGUGAGGAAGGUAGCCCGACCUCCUCAGGCCUUCUGCCUCCGAGAUUUUAAACGAUUAGAUGCACUGUUCUCCCUGGCAAUUAAAAUGGAAAUGGGCGUUCUUUGUAUUCUCUCAUCUUGAAUAUGCAGAAGUUUGAUUUAUUUUUAUUUAUAUAAUUAUGCUUUAAUCACUGUGGAAAACAACAAUCUAUUUCAGUGCUGUGCUAGAUACAGAACAAGAAAAAUGUUUUUUUAAUGGUGCAUCAUCUCUCAUCUAAGUACUAUAAAAAGAAAAACGCGCAUAAACGUGACCUCUUAAUCAUUCUAUUAUAACUCUUUCGCAGGUAGCAUGCGUUACUUCAUUGACAUAAGAAAUUAUCCAGACUGUCCCUGCCCUGUGCAACUGCAGUGUUGCUUCCCCCAUAUGCAUAAAGAAUAAUCUGAAUAGUGAUUAAUGUUGUUCUCUUGCUGUGCAUCUAAUAAAAUUAUUGCUGUUGUUUUUGUUGUUGUUAUUAUUAUUGAAUCAAAAAUCACCAAAAACAUUUUUACACGUUUUUAUCUUUCUUGGACAGGGCUACUUUGACUCCCAUGCUAUAUUUGGCAAUGGCUGCUACUGUUGCACAGACGUGACAGUUAUCACUAUUUCAAUUCACAAUGUCUCUGUUGCCCCCACAAAGUAAUGACUUUGCCCCUAGUGAUAGCUCUACGCUGACAAAGCCCGCCCCAGUGUGCAUGUUGUUUGUUUUGUUUUGAUUAUCCAUUCAUUAUCAGUUAGACUUUGUGUUACUUCCACACUUGACCCAUUCCAAUGAAUUCUUUUAUUAACAUCUGUGUGCAAUCUAUGCAAAUAUUUUUAAAUUAUUUUCAUUAUAGACUGUAUCUAAGAGUGCAAACGUUUCACCGUUUAGUAAUUCAGUAUUAAACUUCUCCAGCAAGUGUGAAACUGCUUUAGUGUUUACAACAUUUCAAAUUCUUGUGGAAGAAUCCGUGGGAGUUCUGACUGCACAAAGCCUCGUUGUCAUUUGUCACUCUCUUUUGUACAGUCGACAUCCAAGUAGGUCUGAAGAAGUAUGUCAGAGGAUUCUAUUUUCAUUAAUGAUACUUAGCAUUUUCACAUGCUUACUGGCUAUUUCUGUCUUUCUUACACAAUAUUAAUUCAAAUCUUUUUUAUCACUUUGUUUUAGGUUAUUAGUGCACAUUGUUAUGUUAUAAAAUAUUCUGCAUAAUCUGUAUAUGAAUUAUUUGUUAUAUAUACUUUUGCAUGCUCUAAACUUUCAUCUAAUGUAUCCUUAAAAGAAUUAUUUGAAGCACAAAAUUUUUAGAUUUGACAAACUCCAAUUUGUCCCUUUUGACUUCUGUUGCUUCUUCUCUUGCUGCUGAUUCUAUAAAAUUCUUGACUAAUCUAAGAGGACAAAGAGUUCUGCAUAAUGAAUUUUAGUGUUGGAUUGCUUUGACCAUAUUGAGAUAUUCUAUAGAGUACAUCAACUUUACUCCAUUCUUCCUUUGCAUAUGAAAUAACUGUGCUGUACAGAUGGUGAAGACUAAUACUUUCCAAAUGAAUUUUCUUGGUCCCAUCAUCAAAUGAAUCAAUUUUAAGUGUGGUUGUUAAAUUCUGAAUUCACAAGUCUUUCCAAUAAUCUAGACAGAAGCCAAUGCAAACCAGUGGAACGCUGUCUUGGCUAAUGUAGGCUUAUAAACCUUAGAACUGGGAAAUUAUUAGUGAAUAAGUUUGUUUUGCAUUUUCAAGAUCAUUUUGGAGGUUUCUGAAAUAUUCAUAUGAAUAUCAGAGUUGUCAAUUUUAUCAAAGAAACUUAUUGGGAUUCAUCAAAUCUGCAGAUUGACUUGGAUAAUUGUCCUAAAUUGACAAUAGUUGCCCUUACAAUUCAAACAUGGGAUCUGAUUCCCCUCACUUUCACCUUUAAGUAUUUUCCUCAACAAUUUGGAGCUUGCAGUUUGUAAAUCUUUUUUAAAUUAUUGUAUUCUAGUUGUUGCUCCCCCAGUCCCCUCCCACAGUUCCUCAUCCCAUUCCUCCUUCCCCUUGCCUCCAAGAGGGUGCUUCCCUGCCAUAAGGCCUCCCCCUUUCCCGGGGCCUCAAGUCUCUCAAAAAUUAAGCACAUCUCCCAGUGAGGCCAAGGUCACAUAUGUGCCAGGGUCCUCAGACCAACCCAUGUAUGCUCCUGGUUGGUGGUGCAGUCUCUGGGAGCUCCCUGGGGUCGGGGUUAGUUGAGACUGCUGGUCUUAUAAUGGGGUCGAUCUCCUUUUCAGCUUCUUCAAUCUCCCUAAUUCAACCUUAGGGGUCCCUACUUCAGUCCAAUUGUUGGGUCUAAGUAUCUGUGUCUGUCUCAGUCAACUGCAGGUAGAGACUCUCAGAGGACAAUCAUGCUAGGCUCCCAACAUACCAUAGUAGUGUCAGGACUUGGUGGCCCCCUCAUGAGAUGGAUCCCAAGUUGAGCCUGCCAUUGAACCACGUUUUUCUCAGUUUCUUCUCCAUUUUUGUCCCUGAAGAUUUUUUAAACUGGAACAAUUCUUGGUCAGGAAUUUUGACUGCAGGUUAGUAACCUUGUCCCUCCACUUAAAGCCCUGUCUAUCUACUGGAGGUAGACUCUUUGAGCUCCCUUUCCUCGAUCUUGGGCAUUUUGGCUAAGGUCCAUCCCCAGUGAGUCCUGCGAGUCUCUCAUCUCCUGGAUCUCUGGUGCUUUCUAGAGGGUCCCCCAGCUCCCACACUCUCAGGCUGCUUCUCUUGGCCCUCUGAGCUUCUCUCCUGUCCCCUCCCCCAUAUCUGACUGUGUUCUCCUUCUCCCCCUCCUGCUCCCUUCUCUCACCCAGGUCUCUUUCUUCCUCUUCCUUCCAUGAUUAUUUCCUUCCCCCUUCUAAGUGGGACUGAAGCCUCCUCACUGGGGCCUUUCUGCUUCUUAACUUCUUGUAGUCUGUAGGUUGUAUCCUAGGUAUUCUGUACUUUUUGGCUAAUCUCCAGUUUGUAACCUUGUGGUUGUUUCUUGUUGUUUGUUUUUCUUCUACUGUUUCCCUGUAUUUGAAUUUUAAAGCUAUUAUAAAUGGAAUUUUUCUUUUAAAUUUUGUUUCAGGUUGUUGGCUGUUUACAUAUAGAAACACAAUUGAUUUCAUUCAAUAAUCUUCCCUUCCUACAAUCAUGUUGAACACAUUUAUUGGCCUUAAUAGUUUUUUUUUUCUAUUCUUUUUUUUUUCGGAGCUGGGGAUCAACCAGGGCCUUGCGCUUGCUAGGCAAGCACUCUACCACUGAGCCAAAUCCCCAACCCCUCUUAAUAGUUUUAAUAGUGAAAGAAAAGGGUGUUUGUGUGGCUGCAUACACAAGUUUAAACAUUUUAUAAACUUUACCACAAUAAAAUACAAAAUAAAAGCAUAAAAAAAGAAUGAAAAAUGGAAAAACAUUAAUUCAUGUCAAAACCAUUGAAGAAUACCAGAGUAAAAUCGGUUGGCAGCACCAAAUUUCUGAUUAAAAUUUCCAAGUUUUGAAGGGGCUCGAGACCCCUUAUGAACAACAAUGCCAAGCAAACACAGAGGCAAAUGCCAGCAGCAAACCACUGAACUGAGAAUAGGACCCCCGUUGAAGGAAUCAGAGAAAGAACGGGAAGAGCUUGAAGGGGCUCGAGACCCCAUAUGUACAACAAUGCCAAGCAACCAGAGCUUCCAGGGACUAAGCCACUACCUAAAGACUAUACAUGGACUGACCCUGGACUCUGACCUCAUAGGAAACAAUGAAUAUCCUAGUAAGAGCACCAGUAGAAGGGGAAGCCCUGGGUCCUGCUAAGACUGAACCCCCAGUGAACUAGAUUGUUGGGGGAGGGCGGCAAUGGGGAGAGGAUGGGGAGGGGAACACCCAUAAAGGGAGGGGGAUGGAUUAGGGGGAUGUUUGCCCAGAAACUGGGAAAGGGAAUAACAUUCGAAAUGUAAAUAAGAAAUACUCAAGUUAAUAAAAAAAAAAUUUCCAAGUUUUAGAUUAAAUCUUGUUUCCGGGCUUGCAUGCGACAUGACCAUGUCCCUAGGGGAUUCUGCACUGGAAACUUGGUUCUUAAGGUGGUAAUGCUGAAGACAUGGAACUUCUAAAUGGUAUAACCUCAUAGGAGAUAGCCAGACCCUGGCAGUUCUACUAUUAAAAGAAGUUAAUGCCUGUCUUCCAGGGUAGAGAACUAGGUACUGUUGUGAUAACACUUAAAGGUCUAGAAGCCAGAUACAUCUGUUUAAAACUGAGAAACUCGUAGGCAGACCAAGGUUUAACUGCCUCCAAUCCAAAAGAAAGGAGCACUAAAGAAUGUCCUAGACUGUUGUUGUUUGGAUGCUAAUGUAAAAAAUGAGCCAAUGGGGGUCUCGGAUGCAGGUUUUGAUUCUGGGGAGAGGAGGACCCUGAAAUCCUGGUAGGUUUUCAUGAGAUAGCUCUAUGCUUGCUCUAGUGAGCUUGCUGUCAGGGCAAAGCAUCCGGAGGAAACAAACCAAUUACUUGACCCAAGAUAAACGCUGGCCGCGUGUAUUAUGCAAUCGUUAGCCACGUAGAAGCUAAUUACUUACAGAACCGUCCACAAUCUGCUCUAGUUACAUCCUUCUGAAAUGUGCCGCCUUCUCUGCUUUUAAAAUUGAAUCUCUCCCACCAAAGGGAAUGUAACAGGCCGCUGCUCUCUGUUCACCUUCUUUCUAUUGCCCAGUUAUGUAGAUAAAUGAACGUUUCCAGGAUUCUAAAUGCAGCCUGCUCUUUUGUUCUCUCAGCCCCUUCCCAGACACCUAAAGGCAUUGUUCACAGCAUCACAGGAAGCACCUACCUAGCCAUCUCCAGGACGGUUCAUGUUAUCCACACAUUGUCGGUCUUGCUAAGAGGAGGCCAUUACCUACUACAGGACUUAGAGCCCAUUUGAUGCCCGGCACUGUGCCACUAUGUGAGUGUUUGUAAGAAACAAGGCUACUGUGGUCCUUCAUGUCUGGUUUCCCCUUUAAUAAGUAACCAAAGGGUUGCAGAUAUCACUGAAUGAUGACCUCCUUAAAUGUGACGCUGCAUGUGGUUUGCAUAUAUAAAUUCAAAUUUUUAUAUUUAGAAACUGAAUCUUGAGACCAGAGAGAUGGAUCAUUGGCUAAGGAGAUGGCAGGCCUAUGGCAGCUCUACUGUUGAAAGAAAUUUAUUCUUGUCUCCCAGGGUAGAGAAUUAGAGACUGAUGUGCAAACAUUUAGAAAUACAGAAACCAGAUACUUCUUAAACUCCUUCUCUUCCAUCGGACCAGAAUUUUGUUCAUAAGGCCCAUGUGGAGCCCUUCAUAACUACCCUAGCUUCAGGCUUCCAUGGGCCCUUGCAUGCUUGUGACAUACAUAUGCAUAAAUAUUAUGUAUAAAAUUUAUACAUAAAUAAAAAUAAUAGAUCUUUUAGAAAAAAUUAGAAUUUGAAUCUUAAAGAGAGCUCUGCUGCUAAGUCAGAAACUUUUACAGUAAUUUUCAGUUGUCUGUUGUUUAAGUCUAGGCCAAUGCUGAGAGACUGGUCAUUUAUCAUCUGUUCUCAGGGAAUCUGAGUUAUCCUAGAAAUAAACAAUGUUCGCUCUUACGAUGUGGGUGGAUUUUGUGAUUUGUUUCCAAUGUAGUUAGGUUUUGAGGUAAAGGUAUAAAACAUGGAGCAGGUAGAAAUGCCUUUAAAGCUCUAGCGUGUGUCCUGGUAAUCCUGAUAGCAUCCGUGAUAUUAGAAAGGAACCCAUGAUUCGGGAUGGAAAGCUUGAGCUUUCUCUCGGGGACUCCAGAGUAGAAAGGAUUUUGUUCUUGUUGAUUACAUUCCUAAGCAAAUGAGAGUAGAGUGGCAGUGAACAUGGCUGAGCCAGGGUCUUUAAAACAUGUUAUUUUAUGUUCAACACAGUAAGGUGAACCACAGACUUUGCUCCAAGCUGAGACUUUCGAUGAAGUGACCUUUUAAGCUGACUUAGUAAUGAUACUGAAAAUAUUAUCUAAAGUUACAGUACCAUGGAACGGUGUCAUGACUCCUCCUGAGCCUCUCUGUGGAAACCAGCAACACGGCUAAAAAAGAAACAGGUGUCUCAUAGAAGAGCGCUUUGCCUUGUGGUGUUUUGAAACCAUGGGUUUUAUCCUGCAGUACGGUCAAGUUUUGUGCAACCAUGGGAAGUACACGUAAGCACAAUAACUCCAAGUAGCCAACAUCCUAAUUGUGCCCCAUCUCAAAUGAAUGCUAAGCCUUGGUUUUUGUAGUUUUCCCAACCCACCCAACAUAAUUCUAGCCAAUUCUUCUCUCUACCCAAGAUAUGUCUUUUCUAAAUUGCUCACACCAAAUGAACAGACAGACAGACAUUACCCUGUUGCUAAUUCGUCCCUGAGUUUGGAUAUAAAGGGCUUGUAAACAACGCACCCUGAAUUUCAAAAGGCGACUGUCUCUGAAAGGAACACUAUAGCUUGUCUUCAAACCCCCUAUGCUAACACAAUUAAACCUCAAAUUCAUGAAAUAAAGAGUUAAUGUUGUACUUUGGUUGCAUAGUUCUGUCUCUUUACAACACUUUUCUUUCUCUGAACACUGCUGGUUCUCGUUAUAUAAGAUCUUUAAGAAGAAUUCAGCAGCAAAGAAAAUAACACAUUAGAUAUCCUGCUGCUCAGAUACUAAAUAAAUUAUGAAAAAUGCUGACAGUAACUACGUUCACCUUGCUGCAUUUUGUACAUGAAAUGUCUGUUCCUUUUAUAAACGUUUUCACUGUAUUUUUACAUGAAUACUUUUUGUCCCUUUUGUAAUGUUGCAUUUAAUACCUUGACUUAUCUAUUUCAUGUGCAUAUACAGAUGUGCGUAGUUCACUGGAUGUCCUCAGUCUUAAGAAAUAUAUUUUAGUCAUGAAGUUUAGUUCUGAAACAAUGAGGUAUUUCUUACAGUUUACAUAUAAUUCCUUUUGAUCAUCCCUGAUAAGUUUAGCCCACUAAGAAUAUUGAUACAUGAAUGAGGGUCUCACCCAGCUACAUUUAAGGCAUUUUAAGAAAGAUGUCAACGUAAUCGAGUUUUUUCUGACUACUUAGAAAAGUGUUGCAUUUGAUUCCUGGACUUUGAUUAGGUAAACAAUUUUAAAAGUUUAAGUUGGGAGAGAGAAGAAAGGUUCAUGAAUUUCUCAUUAGUGCAAUAGCAUUUAUCUGGAUCUAGGGUUUGUAUGAAGACAAUCAUAGAAUUUAAUAAAGAUAGUUGGUACUCUAUACACUGGUAAACCUGAUCUUUAGAUUCAUCUUCCUUUUGCUCUAGCAUGUUUUUAUUAUCUCUUACUUAAAUUUUCAGAAAACAGCAAACCAUGGAAACUCAAAUACUCAGCAAACUUAUCUCCCUACCUGCAUAGUAAAAGCUUCAGGAAAAGGUGUGAUAAUUUAAAGGAUCAAACAAGUGUAUAACUCACCAUUUGUCUCUUUUCCUUAAAGUCAAACUAAUGUCUGUCCCAUGAAUUAUUGUGACAUUUUGCUAUUAUUUAACACAUUCCCGAUAGAAGCAGAAGUUCUGGUUAGAGAGAUCCUUCACUUUCCAUGCGAGGGCCUCUGUUACACUGGAGAACAGAUUACUAUCUCUGUGUCAUUGCACUGUGAAAGUCACUAAAUACCGGGCUGGAGAGAUGGCUCAGCGGUUAAGAGCACUGACUGCUCUUCCGGAGGUCCUGAGUUCAAUUCCCAGCAACCACAUGGUGGCUCACAGCCAUCUGUAAAGGGAUCCGAUGCCCUCUUCUGGUGUAUCUGAAGACAGCUACAGUGUACUUAUAUAUAUAUAUAAUAAAUGAAUAAAUCUUUAAAAUUAAAAAAAAUCGCUAAAUACCAGCUUCUUACUCCUUCAAAAAAAACACGAACCAAAGUCAAACCGCAAAUUCCUGUAUAUGAUACAACAGAUAACUAUUUUUUCUUAGCUCUAAAUAUUGUUUUGAUAGAACUAAACCAGUCUGUGUCCUUACUGAUUGGAGAGUAUUUUUGCAUGCAAAGUGUUACCUAGGUAAACAAUUCAGUCGUGGCAUAUUUUUAUUCUCGUUGAGGUAAUUAUGAGAGUUUAGACUCCACACAACAUCCCUCCAGUAGCUGGCAUGAAGCGCUCCACAGAAGAAUCACUUUAAGCCGCGUCAGACUUCGCCUCCUCUCCCCUUCAGCUAUUAUGAAAUCCAUGCAAGUAAAACUCUACCUCGUCUCUUUUUAUUUGCAGUUGUGGGACUCAUCGGCGGCACUGAAUUCCUUUGCCAAUAAUCUUUUGGAUUUCAUUUCCUAACCCUCCCUCCUCUUACACACAUAUACUUCCCUAUUUAUAUGUAUGUGCUCCUCGGCUAAACCCAAUUAAAAUGCAAUAAGCCUUAGCUUGAAGCUUCUUUUACUAUUCCAAUGUACGCCGGGAGAUGUUCGAUAUUAUGGGAUAUGACUAUAAAACACAGAAGCUGGGUUGCUUUGCUGUUUUUGUUUUUGUUGUUGUUGUUGUUUUGUCUUUGUUUUUUUUUUUAUUGCAACAGUCAGAAAAUAUGAUUGUCACUUUUACUUACGUUAAAAAAGAUACUUUACGGACUAAAUUGUGUUCUUUACAUAAAUCUAUGGCAAAAUGUUCCCAAGCAAUUUCUAGACAGAUGUAUGUGUCAUUUCCAAGAUUCAAGGGAAAGCGAAGUAGAAAAGGGUAAUAAGUACUAGGUUUCCAGUUUUCAUCUGGACCCUUCUUCACGUAACUAAUAAUUUAAUUGCUCUUACCCUAGACUUUCCGAGCACAAAAGUCAAUGGAACGAGACUUCAUCUGCACUGGAAGUGGAGGCACUGACAAUUUGAGUGGUAUUUUUUGAACAAGAUAAUACAAUAAAAUAAACACUAUAAUAAUAUGAAAAUGCAUAAUCCUGAAUCCAAUUCUAUUGUGAUCCUACACAGGAGCAUCCGUUGCUCUGGUUAUGCUGCAGAAAUCUGUACCCAGUACUGGCCCGAGUCAUUGCUGAGAGAAAGUACUGGCUUUGGUUGUCCAACCAUGAGACCUGAGGACUGUUUUUCAUGACCAGAAAGUGGGUUGACAGAUGCUUCGUAAAUAUCCCAACACAAAUUUUAAAAGUCAAGCUAUUCAAUUACAGAAUAUUUUAAAUGCAUAAUCAGUUUACUGAGUCUGUUUUACAAAGAUCAUUAAAAUAGCAAAUGUAUUGAAACAAAUAAGAUGGCGAUAUUUUCCUUCCCAGGUAAAAUGGUCUUAGUUUUUCUACACGUCAACAUCUUCAUGUGCAUCCUCAAUGACACAUGGGCAAUGACCUAAAGCACCGCCGUUUCUCCAAAACUAGGAUGAUGUCCAUGCAGUCUCUAGGUGUCCCCUUAGUCACUACUCUGAAUCAUACCUGUGCUUAGUAGAAUUCCAUUCUCCAUAAUCCACCUGCUUUACCCUGUACCAUGGUCUGAUGAAACAGGAGUAAAAUGUAGUGAUCAACUGCUUCUCCAGGGUUUAAAUUUCCUAAUUGCACAGAUUUGUGUUAUGAUAUGAAACCAGAUCAAACUGUACGUUUUUCUCCAAGGGAUACUUUUUUCCAAAUCCCAGAAACCUUUGCCUUGAAACCAAUCGAGUUGACAGAUGGCAUUUUAAAGUACCUGGAAUUGCCUUGACUUUAAAAUUUGGGGAAUUUCUUACUUUAUGGAACUUGGUCUUCUAUCAAUCAGGCAGGUUGAGUUUUAAAAAGAGUUGAAGUAAAUGCACUCUCAGAACCGCUAGCAAGAAAUACUAUCUAAGACAUCCUAUUGGAUUACAAGUUAAAUCAGAUGUUAAUGAGCACAUUGCACAUGUGUGUGCAUACUUCCGAGUAAGUGUAGAGAAAUUUGAGUGCCAUGCUUAGCAAAGUAUCCUUGACUUUAUGGGCUCAGGGAAACACUGUAAGAAAAAAAUGGUAGUAGUCUCUUCCUUCUAAAUCUGAAACAAAUGAAAGAAUACAGCAAGAAACAAGUAUCUGUGAACAUUUCAUCUAGAGCAACUCUGCAUAACCAAUAACAAUAACAAUACUCAUUCAGCAAACAAAUUAGUUUCAUUGUUUCAGGCAUUGUGUUUUAAUAUUUGAUUAUGCAUUCUGACAAAAUGCUGAUAAUUAUGUGUGUGUCCAUGUGUGUGUUAGAGGGAGAGAGAGAGAGAGAGAGAGAGAGAGAGAGAGAGAGAGAGAGAAGAGAGACACAGAGAAGAGAGACAGAGAGACAGAGACAGAGAGAAGACAGACAGAGAGAGAGAGGAGAGACAGAGAGAGGAGAGACAGACAGAGAGACAAAGAGAGACAGAGAGAGACAGAGAGACAGAGAGAGACAGAGAGACAGAGGAGAGACAGACAGAGAGAAGAGAGACAGAGAGAAUAUUAUUCAGGGUUAUGUUUAGGGCUUCUCUCGUCCUGGACAAGUUCUGUAUGAUUGAGUGGCAUUUCCAGAUCUAUGAUGGCGACUCUACUUGAACUACAUUGACCUUGUAGAAUUGGAGUCAGUUUUAAUAAGAAAAACCACACAAAUUCCAGGAAGAAAAUAAGUGGAAGACAUAAGAUAAUUUAACAAUAUGCUUUAAAAUCUAAACGAGUGUGAUGACUUCUCUCCAAGUGGUUGAGAUCUCAGUUAAUGGGAAGAGUGAGGAAUCUGAACACACCAUUCAGCAGGACAAGCAAACGCUUGGGUUAUUUAAAAGGCGAGAGCACAGACUGCAAAGGUGUAGAUGAGUAUGGAGAAGAAACAGGCAUAAGAGAGUAUGGACCCUUUGACAUCUGAGUGAACACUGUGAAGCCCUUGGAUUGCAUUCAGUGUGCUAAGGACUGAACGGAAGGGUGGCUACCGGGGGCUUCAUCAUCAAACCCGUGUGUUGGUGCUGGAGGAUUCUCUUUGCUGCUACAUAAAUAAUGACAGGUGGAAAGAAUACAGAACAAAUUAAAUGUGAUAAGAGAUAGAUGAUAUAAUUAUCUGAAGUGCAUCAUAAAACAGGCAUGAAAAUAGAGCGCAUUAUUUGGCAUUGUGUUCUGACAGUGAAAUCGCUGGUGACUCUGAACUGAACACUUAGAUGAAUGAAAUAAUGUCAGGAUUCUGGUCUCAGUGAUUGGGGGUAUUUAUUGGAAAUAGCAAAAGUGUGAAAUGUGAGAUUGUAUUUUUGUCAUACUCCACUUGUUAUAUCUGGAAAUACUCUUACAAAUCAAGGAGCCAUCAUAACCGUUAAUUUGUGAAAACUAAGGAGCCAAAGCUAUUGUCACACUCACUAGAGAGUCUCAUCCACACUAGUCCCCAGGCCACCCCCUUCCUCUGAGUCACCCUGCGGGAAGGUAGGUUAGAUCCUUAGAUACGCACUCUGUGAUAGCGCCAUCUUGUCAACAUGGUGACAAGACGCACAUCCAAACCAGUGCUUCACCUCCCAGCGAUCUGUUUAUGAUCAGUGUGCUUGUCUUCAACACUAAAUUCCAUGUUUUCCUCAAAUUUCCUAGAGCCUUCUUCUAGAAUUGCUUUCAGAGUUAAUAGGCUGUCUUAAGUAAUUGCAGGCACACCCCUCUAAAGAUUAAUUUUCAGAGCAGCAAAAUUUCCCAUAGAGUAUGUGUUAUGAGUUGGGGUUUAGAACUAGAUAAAGGUUAGAAACAGAGGAGUCAAGGAAUGGUAUCUUCCAUAUAACAUUUAACUGGCUCUAACAAGGACAAAGUUACGGGACCUUAAUAUCACUUGCAACUUCUCAUAUGAAUUCUGUACCUCUAUGGGAUAAUCUGAUUUAUUUCUUAAUAUGUUUACAUUUGCCGUUCACAUGAAGCACUUUGGAAGACAACACUAACUUGAAUUGUGUGCCAGAUUUUAUGUAUUAUUUUAUGUUCAGGUGAAAAGAAAGGAGAAUAAGCCUUAAAUCUAAUGGGUUGAACUUGUUUUGCGUGUGUAUUGUGGACUCUCACUUGCCUCAAUUAAUCCUAUGUCGAGUCGCUCCUAUUGCUAUAAUUCUCAGUCUUUACUAUUCACCUGGUCAAAGCAGAUGCCCGGCAUUGUGUGACCUUAACGAGUUGCAUUGUUUAUCUGGGUAACCUGAACUGUGUUAAUAUUUAGAAGUAACAAAAUGUGCUUUAUAUCCUCUGAGAUCUUGUUUUGUGACCAAGGAGGUACCAAUGACGGCACAUCUCUGUAUGGCUGACCGCAGGCGAUCACGACACAGGACAGCUUACUUGUUUCUGUUAUUUAGGGUGAUAGUGACAUGUUCCUUAGAUAAAGAUAUUUAUUCUUCAUUGGAUGAGGCUACUGUGGUAGCAUUAAUUAUUCUGUGGCCUCCAGUAUAUGUAGCACAGGGCAAAUCAUGAAGAACAAAGUACUUGAUAAAAAGAAGGAAUUUAGUCUAUUGGAUUUAGCAGGCUUAAAAUAAUGUUAUAAUCAAAUUCCCUGUUUAAAAAUGUAUUUACUACUUACUUACUACCACAAUGAAGAGAAUUUUUUCUCCCAUUGAGGAUUAAUUUCCUCAAGUAGAAAAUUGGGAAGCAAUUUUAUAACAGCCUAACAAAGCUGUUAUAAGUACAAAAUAAGCAACCACAUCUAAAAAUGUUACUAGAAGACAUGUGUGGUAUGAGCCAUUCUAAGAGUAAAUAGAGCUACACUAUUUAGCUUUUAUUAUCUCAAGAGAUGGCAAGAAAGUACUUGAAAUUCUGAUGGAAAUGGUACGAUUCUCUGAAUCUUUCCAUGGUGUUAACAAGUGUUUCAUUUCUAUCCGUUUUCUUUGUAUACAGAACUCACUUAUGUGGGCUCUAGAGAUGGCUCAGGUUACAAGUGCUUGCUGCCCUCUCGGCAACCCCAAACUUGAUUCCCAGCACCCAUGCAGUGCCGCUCUAACCCCGAGCUCAGGAGCCUCUUCUGUAACUCUGACCACUGAGGAUUUGUUAUAUGUGCAUGUAUGCUUGUCCUCAGAUAGCUCGAAAAUCAAGGAAACAGAGUGUAACUAAAAAUACAAAGAGCUGAGAAACGAGUAAACUGUAAAACUAACACAGAAUUUUGGAGCUCCUAUUUACCAACCGUGUGCAACUUCAAGCUCCAGGGGAUUUGACAGUGUCCUCUGGCCUCUACAGAAAUGUGCCUGUACUCACACAGACUGCGUGAGUGCACCCCAUGCACACUCAUAGUUAAACUUAGAAGUAAAGAGUUAAAAGAAAAAUAAGCAUUCAUUAACUGUGAUAACUUCCUUCC